GUGCACAUUUUGGUAGACAUACACUAAAAUUGGCAUGACACAGAGAAGAUUAAAGAUUAGCAUGGCCCUUGCGUAGUGUUUCAUAUUUUAAAAACAUUUUUCUAGUUGCU
rnacentral:snRNA from 1 species